UACAGAGGGUGCGAGCGUUUAAUCGGAAUUACUGGGCGUAAAGCGCGCGUAGGCGGCUUUGCAAGUCGGGUGUGAAAUCCCCAGGCUUAACCUGGGAACUGCAUUCGAGACUGCAUUGCUAGAGUAUGGGAGAGGGAAGUGGAAUUUCCGGUGUAGCGGUGAAAUGCGUAGAUAUCGGAAGGAACAUCAGUGGCGAAAGCGACUUCCUGGACCAAUACUGACGCUGAGGAGCGAAAGCCAGGGGAGCAAACGGG
rnacentral:rRNA from 1 species